UGGGGAAUAUUGGACAAUGGGGGGAACCCUGAUCCAGCCAUGCCGCGUGUGUGAAGAAGGCCUUAUGGUUGUAAAGCACUUUAAGCGAGGAGGAGGGUACUGGUAUUAAUACUACCAGGUACUGGACGUUACUCGCAGAAUAAGCACCGGCUAACUCUGUGCCAGCAGCCGCGGUAAUACAGAGGGUGCGAGCGUUAAUCGGAUUUACUGGGCGUAAAGCGUGCGUAGGCGGCUAAUUGAGUCGGAUGUGAAAUCCCCGAGCUUAACUUGGGAAUUGCAGUCGAUACUGGUUAGCUAGAGUGUGGGAGAGGAUGGUAGAAUUCCAGGUGUAGCGGUGAAAUGCGUAGAGAUCUUGAGGAAUACCGAUGGCGAAGGCAGCCAUCUGGCCUAACACUGACGCUGAGGUACGAAAGCAUGGGGAGCAAACAGG
rnacentral:rRNA from 1 species